ACUCAUACAUUGUAGGAGAUAUACCAUGUUGUAAAAAUGGUUUUCCCAGGGAGAGGCUUAUCCAUUGCACUUUGGGUGUGCUGCUGAUCUCUGUGAAAUAUGGGGAACUCAACUGCAUAAUUUGUGUUAAUGGGAAAUUGCACUUGUGAUUUUCCUG
rnacentral:snRNA from 1 species